GCCCCGGUAGUGUAAUUGAUAGCACAAGCCCUUGGAGCGGGUGAAAUGCGGGUUCGAAUUCCGUCCGAAGUU